CAGGAAGUGAUUUUUCUCCAUAAAAAUCACUAGGAGAAACUCAAAAUGGCUAUGUUUUGCACUGUUUAUGGAUGCUCAAAUCGGUCAAACCGAGAAAAAACAAAGAGUUUUUAUCGUGUAACAAAAGUUGUUUCUCAUACGGGGGGGAAUUUCAAGGAAUUGACUGAAAAAUGUAGGAAAAAAUUGUUUGAAAACCUUCAUCUUCUCUUCGGUUGGGAGGAGCCGAGUCAGCUAAUUUAAUGCUUGUGUGUGCAGUGACCAGUUUGUCAGAGGCUGCCCUAGUGCUUUAAAUGAUGUUGAGUCUGUAGACUGGGCUCCUACACCUCGGUUAUCAAAAAUGUAGGCCCACGCCAGAAGCAUUGCGUAAACGAACAGAGAGGUCGAUCAACAUAGACACGCAGAAGCUGCAGAGGCCUUGCUGGAUCUCCGUGAGUCAGCUGAGGACACAUAGCAAGAGGACAACACAGAGAUGUUACCUGAUCAACAAGAUUGUUUAUUGAAGACGCAGGACAACCAGCUAGCAGUGCAUUGCAAUAUUCCAGUCUAGAGGUCAUGAACGCAUGAACUAGCUUUUCUGCAUCAGAAACAGAUGCAGAAUGCCAGACAGACCUAACCAUGGAUGGCAUUGAGAGGAUGAAAGAUGUUCUCAAACACACCACAACACCACACUGGGUGAUCUUAGAACUAAAGCACUUGACAUCCAAUUCAGCCAAGAGUCUUUUCAGAAGAACGAAGACUUGACAAAGUUUUACACUGGACUCCCUAACUUUUUGGUUUUAAUGCAGAUUUUUCAGCUGUGUGAGCCUUAUAUCACCUGUGGAUAUUUGUCUGUGCUUUCUAAAUUUGAACAGUUAAUUGUAAUUUUGAUGAGAUUGAGACUAAACCUUCCUCUGAAAGAUUUGGCUUUCAUGUUCAAUGUCUCUUACUCCACUGUUUCCAGAAUUUGGCACAAGUUAAUUGGCAUACUUCAUGAGAGAUUGGAGUUUUUAAUUGAGUUGCCAGAGUGACAUGUACUUCAAGCCACAAUGCCAGUGCCAUUCAGGCAAGCGUUUGGAUGUAGAGUUUUGAAUAUAAAUGUCAUGAUUUGAAAUGGUCAUUAAAUGAAUAAACUUUGGAUGUUAAUGAUAAAUGAUAUAUAAUACUUUGGUAGACUACAUGAUAGCAUAACAGUACACUGUGUUUUUAGUGAAUUUUGUAUAUAACCUAAGGGCUAAAUUCAAUCAAAAGCUACUGUGGUGUCAUGUAAAGUUCCCCACAAACAAAUAAAUACCAAAUUAGCUGUAAUAAGUUGGGUUAGUUGAUGAAGGACAAUUGAUCUAGCCUCAGUGGACAAAUAUAUAUAGCAGAACAGUGCUCUGCCAUGUGCCACAGUAGCUUUUUUUGAAUUUACCUUCAGACAUAUUAAAUUCAGUAUAAUUUACAAAGUGCACACUGUUUUAGUUCUUUUAAGUAACCACCAAUACUUUUUUGUUGUAGAAUUUAAUCUUUUUUUUAUUUAAUCUCCUCAGCAAACAUCUGCUUGCCAACAAAGAUACAUUCAUGUUAUUCAGUGUUUUUCUUUUGCAAAAUAUGACUGAAUCAAGUGCCUGAGCUGAUGUAAGGUAGUGUCCUUUAAUAAUAUUACAUGUCAAUAUGUUGUUUUGUAACUUUCUGUCCCAACACUUCAGGAAGUAUACAGUUUCUGAAAAAAAUCUCAACUCUGGCAAUCACAUCAUCCCAAAAGCCCAUGUCAGGUAUAAUCCUUUCCAAAAAAAAAUGUCAUUAGAGUUCCACAGUAGAAAAUUGCACAAUGUGAAGCUGUGCCUGGACUUGGUAGUAGUAAGCAUGGCUCCAGUCCAGUGUUAUCUCAUCCCCAUCUUUGAUAAAACAGAAU
ensembl:lncRNA